rnacentral:rRNA from 1 species
GAUGAACGCUGGCGGCGUGCCUAAAACAUGCAAGUCGAGCGAACAGAUGAGGAGCUUGCUCCUCUGACGUUAGCGGCGGACGGGUGAGUAACACGUGGAUAACCUACCUAUAAGACUGGGAUAACUUCGGGAAACCGGAGCUAAUACCGGAUAAUAUAUUGAACCGCAUGGUUCAAUAGUGAAAGACGGUUUUGCUGUCACUUAUAGAUGGAUCCGCGCCGCAUUAGCUAGUUGGUAAGGUAACGGCUUACCAAGGCAACGAUGCGUAGCCGACCUGAGAGGGUGAUCGGCCACACUGGAACUGAGACACGGUCCAGACUCCUACGGGAGGCAGCAGUAGGGAAUCUUCCGCAAUGGGCGAAAGCCUGACGGAGCAACGCCGCGUGAGUGAUGAAGGUCUUCGGAUCGUAAAACUCUGUUAUUAAGGAAGAACAAAUGUGUAAGUAACUAUGCACGUCUUGACGGUACCUAAUCAGAAAGCCACGGCUAACUACGUG